GACGAACGCUGGCGGCGUGCUUAACACAUGCAAGUCACGGGGGCUCGCAAGAGCAACCGGCGAACGGGUGCGUAACACGUGAGCAACCUACCUCGAUGUGGGGGAUAGCCGGCCCAACGGCCGGGUAAUACCGCAUACGAUUGUUUGGGGGAGUCCCCGAACAAGGAAACCUCCGGGGCAUUGAGAGGGGCUCGCGGCCUAUCAGCUAGUUGGCGGUGUAACGGACCACCAAGGCGACGACGGGGUAGCGGUCUGAGAGGAUGGCCAGCCACAUUGGGACUGAGAGACGGCCCAGACUCCUACGGGAGGCAGCAGUGGGGAAUCUUGCGCAAUGGCCGAAAGGCUGACGCAGCGACGCCGCGUGU
rnacentral:rRNA from 1 species